CCUGCUCACUGAUGUAAAUUAAAGAGCUGCGGUAUCCUGACCGUGCAAAGGUAGCGUAAUAAUUAGGUCUUUAAUUGAGAUCUUGUAUGAAUGGUUGGACAAAGUAAGUACUGUCUCUGUUUUAAUUAUUGAAAUUAAUUUUUAAAUAAAAAAGUUUAAAUGAUUUAAAAAGACGACAAGACCCUAUAAAGUUUUAUACCUAAGCUCGUUAAGUUUAAUUUUAUAAUAAAUGGUUUUCGAUCUACUGGUAUUUUGUUGGGGCGACAGAAGUUUAACGAAAUUUAACUUUUUCUUGACCAAACCACUUAUAAAUGAAUUAAAGAUCCUAUAAUAUAGAUUUAAAGAUUUAAUUACUUUAGGGAUAACAGCGUUAUUUUUUUUAAGAGUUCCUAUUGAAGAAAAAGAUUGCGACCUCGAUGUUGAAUUAAAUGUCUUUAUAGCGGAGGGGCUAUAAGAAGAAAGUCUGUUCGACUUUUAAAUAUUUACGUGAUCUGAGUUCACACCGGA
rnacentral:rRNA from 1 species